CAAGUGAUCAAAAGGAUAACAAACACUAUGAAGAGGAAACCAAAUAUGUAGUAGAAUUGAUUCAGCCAUAUUGAUGUCAAGAUGAAGAAGAGCUCGAUAAAAACAGCACCAAAUGGUAGAAUGCCUCCAAUGAGUAUGGAGAAGACUGGUUUCAUGUACCAUGCCUGUUCAGGUAUUUGCCUAGGAAUUUUGUUUGUUUUUACAGGGUCUUCAAUAGCUGGCUUUUUGAAACCAAGGUAACUACCUACAAAGACCAAGGGGACAGAUAUGCCAAACCACAAGCAAACCAAAGCAAACAUGGUCCCAAAAGGCACUGCCCCUGAAGACUGCUCUCCCCAAAUUAGGGCAUUCAGCACAAAGAAGAUUGCAAAAAGAAUACCCGGGAACAUAAAUGCAGUUUUUAGGGUGUUCCUCUUCCAUUCUGUUCCCUUGAACAUUUUGUACAAACGUGCUGAUGAGUAACCAGCCAAUAUGCCCAUGAAAACCCACAACAGAACCAUAGCUGUCAUAAGGCCACCUCUGUUGGAAGGGGAUAAGAAACCCAGCAAUGCAAAUAUCAUCGUCACUAGUGUCAUUCCAAAGAUUUGUACACCUGUACCAACNAACACAAAGUAAACUAGAAUUGAUAGGUGCCCGGAACACAUCUCCAUGGACAAGUUUCCACCCUGUUUCUUCCUGAGUCUCAUCUUGAGUCUCCAACUGAUUAUAGUUUGCAAUAUCUCUGAACAAAGUUCUCAUCAUGAUCAUGGCCACCAUGCCAGAAAGGAACAGGACAAUCAUUAGUGAGUUUAUGAUGGAGAACCAAUGGAUCUGAUCAUCAUUCAUGAGUAGGUAUGUGUCCCACCGAGAUGCCCAUUUAAUCUCACUUUCCUUGAAGGUAACAUCAUAUGAGAACACAACUUUCUUGCCUGAGUCAACUUCUUGUGGAACAGUACUACCUUGAAUCAACUUCUUGAUGUCCUUGUUGCAUGUUGUCACUUGAGGAUUGUUAUCAUCCCAUUCCUUGUAUUCAUGAUUAAUACUGUUUGGAAUAACCUCAAACCCAACAAUUCGAGCAGAGUCUGUCUCAGGAUCCUUGUGAUACAUAACUCUAAAGCUCAAAUGGUUAUUGAUAAAAUAUUUCUCCUCUUUACUCCCAGCGUAAGUUCCUUUGAAUCCAACACGGAAACCAUGUUCAUAAGUUGUUGACUGACUGCCAUCUCUCCUCUGUCUACGAACAGCAACUGGUAGAUUAUCCAGUAUCAUGUUGACACGAUAUUCAUCAUCAAUUUUUUCCUUGAAAUUCUUGGCAGACUCAACAUCGAGAGUGACUCCACAGGCCACUUUGCAUGGCUGCUCUUCCAUC
rnacentral:misc_RNA from 1 species